AUUGUCUUAGUACAUUAGUACAAAAACCUUUGAAGUUUUUAGAAAAAGUUUAAAUCUUUUAGACAAUU